rnacentral:rRNA from 1 species
GACUCUCGGCAACGGAUAUCUCGGCUCUCGCAUCGAUGAAGAACGUAGCGAAAUGCGAUACCUGGUGUGAAUUGCAGAAUCCCGCGAACCAUCGAGUCUUUGAACGCAAGUUGCGCCUGAGGCCACUCGGCCGAGGGCACGCCUGCCUGGGCGUCA